ACUCUGCUAUUAAUAUCAUUACCACGAGCACUACUCCACCACUGUUGCAUAAACUGCCAACAACACCCGCCCAGUCUCUCACAAUGCCCUAGUCUUCUUUCUUCCAUUAUUUCUGUUGAGGAGGCAGGAUAAUUUACCCCAUCUCCGCUUGAAUUUCUCUCUCAAAUCUCUACCUCGCUUGAAUUUCUCUCUCCUUUCUAUCUCCAUCUCCGCUUGAAGUUUUGGUUAGACAGGGAAAGGAGAGUUGGGCGAUCUCAACCAAUUUCUACCUUGACCAACAUAGAGCUAUUUGUUCAACCCUCUCUUUACUCUCUAAAACCGAGGAUCCGGACUUACCUUCAUUCUUCAGGUAAUGUUUAUUUUCAGUUUAUAGAGGAAGAACAUGCUGCGAACGCCCUUAAGAAUCUGACUGGAAGAUUUUAUGCUGCAUGAAAUCUCUAAUUGAAUGAUACAAGGAAGUGAAAGAGGAACAUCAUCAAUUGCUGAAUCCCACUUCAGAAGUCAAGGUUCCUAUUGAAUAAUUAGGAAAAUAGGGAUGGAUAAAGAAUGGAUGCAUGUCUCUUACAGAGUUGAUCCAAUGUAUAUAAAAGGAGCACGAAGGUUUGCCGAUUGGGCUCAAGAGAAUGCGGGGCAUCCAGACAAGAUUUUAACCAGCUGAGUAGGAGCAGAACAAAACCAUUACUUUUGAAGUAAGAUUAGAAGCAUAGUUCUGGUUCUCAAUCUUCAUCUCUGGCAGGUACGUGCUUGAAUUUUGUACAAUGGACAACGGGGUGGAGGAAGUGUAAAAAAUCGGAAGUCAACUUGGGCCAAGAAUUAAUGAACAAUGUGAAGAUUGAUAUCAAUUUUUAGGAAAUAUUGAAUUUUCUUUUUAAUUUUGACACAUUGAACAAUUAAUGAUGAAUUGUAAAUUAAUGUCUUACACUUUUGAUAUGUUUAAUGGUGAAUUUAAAUAUAGAUUGUUUUUGGUA